GCUGGCGGUGUGCCUUAGGCAUGCAAGUCGAACGAUAAGCCCACUUCGGUGGGUAGACAGUGGCAGACGGGUGAGUAACACGUGGGAAUCUACCUUAAAAUGGGGAAUAGCCCUCCGAAAGGAGGAGUAAUACCGCAUGUGUCCGCAAGGAUAAAGACUUCGGUCGUUUUAAGAGGAGCCCGCGCCCUAUCAGGUAGUUGGUGAGGUAAUAGCUCACCAAGCCAAUGACGGGUAGCCGAUGUGAGAGCAUGAUCGGCCACAAGGUUACUGAGACACGGAACCUACACCUACGGGUGGCAGCAACCGGGAAUAUUGCGCAAUGGACGAAAGUCUGACGCAGCGACACCGCGUGUGGGAUGAAGCUUUUCGGAGUGUAAACCACUGUGGCAGGGGAAGAAUUUUGACGGUACCCUGCUAGAAAGCACCUGCUAACUACGUGCCAGAAGCCUCGGUAAUACGUAGGGUGCAAGCGUUAUCCGGAUUUAUUGGGCGUAAAGCGUCCGUCGGCGGUUUGAUAAGUCUCUUGUUUAAGCCCAGGGCUCAACUCUGGAAAAGCAAGAGAAACUAUUAAACUUGAGUAUGUGAGAGGUAGCUGGAAUUCUCGGUGGAGGGGUGAAAUCCGUAGAUAUCGAGAGGAACGCCGCGCGCGAAGGCAAGCUACUGGAACAUUA
rnacentral:rRNA from 1 species